CUUAAUUUUGACCAGGAAUUGGAUACUUUCUAACAUGAAGCAUUUAGUUCCAGUUCACACAACUUUAGGAACAGGAUAUAAAAACAAAUAAGUCGGAAAAUAUAGAGGUAGUAAUGAGAGAUGAUUAGAGUUGAAACAAAAUCAUACAUUAAAUUUAACAGUCAAUGGUCAGUCUGCUUAAGUACAGAAAAACAAUUAAUCUCAACUCUCCUGAAAAUAGCAAAUUAUUGUCAACAAUUAAAUAUAAAAAAGAAGAUGUGGUAUGAUUGCCAAUGAGACAACUAUCCACAAAAGACCAAAAUGACACAGACAUUAACAACUAUAGGUCACCGUACGGCCUUCAACAAUGAGCAAAGCCCAUACCGCAUAGUCAGCUAUAAAAGGUUCCGAUAAGACAAUGUAAAGCAAUUCAAACGAGAAAACAAACGGCCUUAUUUAUGUAAAAAAAUUAGCGUAAAACAAAUAUGUAACACAUAAACAAACGACAACCACUGAAUAUACAGGCUCCUGACUUGGGACAGGCACAUACAUAAAUAAUGUGGCAGGGUUAAACAUGUUAGCGGGAUCCCAACCCUCCCCUAACCUGGGACAGUGGUAUAACAGUACAACAUAAGAACGAACUAUAAAAAUCAGUUGAAAAAGGCUUAACUCAUCAGAUGGACAAAAAUAUAAGUGGACGUGGCCGGGUACUUAUACAUCCCGACACAAAAAGACACAAUGAACAGAUCUGAGAGUACUCGCAGUUAUCUGACAGCUAGUUCAAAGCCACUAACAACUAAUAAAAAAAAACUGCUUAAAGAUAAGAUAUAGCCCAAGGACAGUAUUUAAAACUUUGAUUAAAAGGCAGAUAUUGAAAAUAGUGCAAACUGAGUUGACAUUAGUUGACUGAUAAUAAAUUUUACAGCUAAAUUUGACAAAAAGUAUAUGUAAUAUCAUAGGAGGUCAUAUAACAUUCUUGGUAUAUCAUAAUUAAACGUUCUUCCAAUUUUACAAAAAAUGUAAAAGAAAUAAUGCAACACGCAACACGCAACACGCAACACGCAACACGCAACAUGCAACACGCAACAUGCAACACGCAACACGCAACACGCAUAAUAGUUGAUUUC
rnacentral:lncRNA from 1 species